UGGGCCUCCCACCCCGGUCUGCAUCCCAGCCUGCCCAGCAGCUGGCCGCGGUGACAGCUGGGCUCCCUGGACGCCUGCACAGGGGGAGGGAACUCACCUCCCAGGGGCUAUCGUGAGCAUCAGUGUCCAGGGAGCACGUGUCAGUGUCCAGGGAGCAUGUGACCGGCCAUGUGUCCUCAGAAGCAAAGCUCACGGUGAUUACCGCUGUUCAUAAGGAAGCCUCCAACUUCUUUUCCUCAGUGCUCCCAAGGACUCCACCACCACCAUGGAACCAACCAGAACCACGGUCCAUCCCGGACCCACUGGGAGAGCCAGCUCACGUCCUACUGUUUCCCUCUGCGGGGAGUCCAAGGACUCCCUCUCCUAGCCAGCCCCAUGCUCCCUGCCGGUCUUCCCCAAAGGAAGCUCCUGGCUGCAGAAGAGGGACUGGACUAGGCCGUCACACUGGAGAACUUCACCUUGUCUGGUGCACACGUAGGAUGCAGGCUGCCUGCUCUGAGUCUCUGUCCUGCAGGCCUGCCUGAGUCUGAGACCCCUGAGACCCAGGCAGGAUGUGAAAUCUGGGGCUCGUGAUGCUGGUAAGCAAAAUCAUAGCCACUCAGCCCUUCCCUCCCUAGCUGUUUAUGGAACCACACUUCACAAGGUCAAGCAGGCCUGACUUUGCCCCUGGGGAUACAGCAGUGAACAACAGACACUGAC